CACGUAGGGUGCGAGCGUUGUCCGGAAUUAUUGGGCGUAAAGAGCUCGUAGGCGGUGUGUCGCGUCGGCCGUGAAAACCUGCAGCUUAACUGUGGGCUUGCGGUCGAUACGGGCAUCACUGGAGUUCGGCAGGGGAGACUGGAAUUCCUGGUGUAGCGGUGAAAUGCGCAGAUAUCAGGAGGAACACCGGUGGCGAAGGCGGAUCUCUGGGCCUUACCUGACGCUCAGGCGCGAAAGCUAGGGGAGCGAACAGG
rnacentral:rRNA from 1 species